CCUACGGGUGGCAGCAGUGGGGAAUAUUGGGCAAUGGACGCAAGCCUGACCCAGCAACGCCGCGUGAAGGAAGAAGGCUUUCGGGUUGUAAACUUCUUUUAAGAGGGAAGAGCAGAAGACGGUACCCCUUGAAUAAGCCACGGCUAACUACGUGCCAGCAGCCGCGGUAAUACGUAGGUGGCAAGCGUUGUCCGGAUUUACUGGGUGUAAAGGGCGUGUAGCCGGGCUGACAAGUCAGAUGUGAAAUCCCGGGGCUCAACCGCGGACCUGCAUUUGAAACUGUUGUUCUUGAGUAUCGGAGAGGCAAGCGGAAUUCCUAGUGUAGCGGUGAAAUGCGUAGAUAUUAGGAGGAACACCAGUGGCGAAGGCGGACUACUGGACGACAACUGACGGUGAGGCGCGAAAGCGUGGGGAGCAAACAGGAUUAGAUACCCGUGUAGUC
rnacentral:rRNA from 1 species